UACGGGGGGGGCAAGCGUUGUUCGGAAUUACUGGGCGUAAAGCGUGCGUAGGUGGUUGUUUAAGUCUGUUGUGAAAGCCCUGGGCUCAACCUGGGAACUGCAGUGGAAGCUGGACAACUAGAGUGUGGUAGAGGGUAGCGGAAUUCCCGGUGUAGCAGUGAAAUGCGUAGAGAUCGGGAGGAACAUCCAUGGCGAAGGCAGCUACCUGGACCAACACUGACACUGAGGCACGAAAGCGUGGGGAGCAAACAGG
rnacentral:rRNA from 1 species